CCCUUAGAUGUCCUGGGCCGCACGCGCGCUACACUGAUGCAUUCAACGAGUAUUUCCUUGGCCGAGAGGCCUGGGCAAUCUUUUAAACCUGCAUCGUGAUAGGGAUAGAUUAUUGCAAUUAUUAAUCUUGAACGAGGAAUUCCUAGUAAACGCAAAUCAUCAAUUUGCAUUGAUUACGUCCCUGCCCUUUGUACACACCGCCCGUCGCACCUACCGAUUGAAUGGUCCGGUGAAAUCUCGGGAUUGUGGCCAGUUCACUUUAUUGGGAGUUGGCUGCGAGAACUUGCUUAAACCUUAUCAUUUAGAGGAAGGUGGAGUCGUAACA
rnacentral:rRNA from 1 species